rnacentral:lncRNA from 1 species
UUCGCGCAGGUGCGUCGCCCUCUCUCCACGUCCACGGCGCCGAGUCUCGCCACGGUGGCGCAGGCGCCAGGGAGGUUCCCCGGCUUUGCCGCGCGGAGGAAGUCCCGGUUACGCAGAGCGCGCUGGGGCAGGGCUGACCUUCCCCUUUCUCUACUUCACUGGCCUCCUCCAGACGUGGUGGUUGCGCCCUUUCGGCCUCGCUUUCCGUUUUUUGGCUUCAUCCCCUAGAUCUGCAAACAGUUCCUCGUGUUUCUUCCGUUAGCCGGGAAACGCGAACUGCAGCGUUUGGGACCCGGGUUUGCGCGUGUGGAAAGCAAAAGGGGUUACUCUGCUGGAGUUCGACAUUGCAAAUAAAGGGUUGAGUUUGUGCAUCGAUUGUGAACACAACAGGCAGCAGGCUAUAAUGGUGGUCCUGGCUGGAGUAGUUUUCACAGACUUCAGUAAUCUGUGGAGAUGAACGGGCAGUUCUCUGUAGUUUUCACAGAUCACUGCCAGUUCGUUUUGAGGCCUUCAGGAGUGAAGACCUGGCUCAUCAUCACUCUUUGUUGUUUUGUUAAAUUUAUUUACACCCUACUUUAUUCCAGAGGAAAGGAUUUAACGUAGUUUACAUAAAUGUGUACAUCAGGGUAAAUUAAAAAUAAGUACAGAGAAAAAUAGGACAAAAGAAAACCGUGAGUGUGAAAGAUAAGAUUAAGCCAGCAGUUUUGUAUGCAAAAUGCAUGGUGUAAGGUCCUAUUGGUUUGCUGGAGGUAGGCCACACAUAUGACUCUCAGUUUUCUAGCAACCAAGAAAAAGAUCAGUUGCAAUCGGAGUAGGUGUUUUGGCUAAGCUGGAACUAGGACUUGAAUAUAGCAGCUUGUAGAGUUAUACCACUUGCCCAAAUCUCUUCCAUGAGCCUCUUUAAGUGUAACAGAAUGCCUGGGAGCACGUAAAUGCUCCUACUUAGAUGCCUACUUAGCCUCUAAUUUUCAUGGGGCCCAUGAAUCCCAUGAAAAAGAACUUUGAACCCUGUCCACAAUUAGAGUUCAGGUAUACGCAGACAUGUUUAAAGACAAGGGACACCCAAAGGAAAGAUUGCACAGAGAGAAAGUGAGCAUCCGAGAGAAAAUCACCACAAGUGAGGCAGAGGGAGGCCGGUCUCAGCAGAGUUUUGGAGGUCGUGAGAAGAAGAGGUAGGAGAUAGGAGAGUGGUUCCGAGUACUUGCCUGCUGAUGUUACCUUCUCCACCCCCACCAGGUUUUCCAGUGCCUGGAGUCUUGGGCAGGAAUGGGCCACUGUAAGAAAGAGCUUUAUCACUAGGGCCUCAGCCAACUUUUCUGUGGGAUAUCCCUCCAAAAUAAUUAAGAGUUCAGAAUGCUUCAGAUUUUGAAGUGAAACUGGUACAUAUAUUAAGUGUUACUUAAUAACCCGAUAGUUUCUAGGGCAGCUCACCAUAAUCCCAAGUAUUAGCCACCACCCUCACCCCCUUCAGAGUAAAAUGUGUUUCCUGAAGGAAGUUGGGAAAAUGAAGAAAAAAAAUACAAAAAUCACCUAUAAUCUUACCAGUCAUAGAUGGCAGUUUUCCUGUCUUAUUUCUGAAUAAUGGUUGUUAAACAUUUGCCAGCACACCAUAAGGCUUAGGGAGGCAUCUGGGUCAUGCAUGUUAAUAUCCUUGGGUAAUUCCAGAAAUCUCUAUGAAGGGAAACUCCUGUUAUUUAUCUAGACUUCCUGAUUGCAAGGGGUUUGGGCAUCAUGAUUUAGGGGUCUUAAUAAAAUUAUUAUUUUAUUUUUACUAAUAGAUAAUGUCUGUGCCUAUCAGAUAAAGGCAAACCAGUGCUCAGAGGAACCCAACCAUCUCUGAAUUGAGACCAGAGAGCUGUCUCUAUGGAUAGUCCUUAGAGAAGGCAUUUCGGAACACAGUAAACAGCAGCCUGGUGACUCCGAUUACAGGGCCAGUUGCCUUUGUUACAAUAAAAGCAAGUCAUCUACACAGACAAACUGCGGCCUGGACCAGCUGGUGAAACAUAAUUCUGAAUCCUGCCCACAGCCUUCGGUGGUUUUGGAUGAAAGGCCAGCGCCUUGGGAGCCCUGCGUUUGAUUUCAAGUUUUAAGGCCGGCACUGGUGGAGCAAUGAAUGGUGAAAGCUCUCCCCUUAAAGGAGCACAGUUGCCUUUAGGUGACUGCUAACUCAGGCUUUUGCUGAGGACAGUGUUUACUUUGUGAGCUUAAUGACAGGGCUGGCUUUCUGGGAGUGUUGCAAUGAAACAGACUCAGACACAGGCCAUCAUGGGCCUCCUCCCUAGCAAGGCCGCCACGGCUGGCAUCUCAAGAGCAGUCCGUUGAACUUGGGAUUUGGGUGUGAGACACAGUUUCAUCAGAAGAAUUUAAACCAAAGUCUACAUUUGCCCUCUA